rnacentral:snRNA from 1 species
GUGCUCACUUUGGCAGCACAUAUACUAAAACUGGAACGAUACAGAGAAGAUUAGCA